UGGGGAAUCUUGGACAAUGGGCGAAAGCCUGAUCCAGCAAUGCCGCGUGAGUGAUGAAGGCCUUAGGGUUGUAAAGCUCUUUUACCAGGGAUGAUAAUGACAGUACCUGGAGAAUAAGCUCCGGCUAACUCCGUGCCAGCAGCCGCGGUAAUACGGAGGGAGCUAGCGUUGUUCGGAAUUACUGGGCGUAAAGCGUACGUAGGCGGUGACUCAAGUCAGAGGUGAAAGCCUGGAGCUCAACUCCAGAACUGCCUUUGAAACUAGGUCGCUAGAAUCACGGAGAGGUGAGUGGAAUUCCGAGUGUAGAGGUGAAAUUCGUAGAUAUUCGGAAGAACACCAGUGGCGAAGGCGGCUCACUGGACGUGUAUUGACGCUGAGGUACGAAAGCGUGGGGAGCAAACAGGAUUAGAUACCCUAGUAGUCCCUGAGCGGGCUGGCAAGGCGCAU
rnacentral:rRNA from 1 species